AUUGGUGGUUUUGGUUUAUAGAUUUUGAAACAAUUUUCGUUCAUUUUAAAAUUGGUGGGUAAAAUUUUCUCAGAUAUUAAAAACCUUUAUUUAAAGUCCAAACAUAAAUCAAAUUUUUAGAUAUUUAAAAAUCUCCGCAAUUUUUACAAAAAUUUCGGUAGAGUGCCGCCUGUAUUUUAAGAAAACAGUUCUUCAAAACAUGAAAAUAAAAACACUCCCAAUAUUUUUCUCAAUCACAACCUCAUUUGCAACCACCAAACUUCAAAUCAGCAACAAUGGCAAUACUUCAACUCAAAAUCCAAAUUUCAAAUAAAAAUUAAUAACUCAAAACAUUUCAUAAACUCAUACACAUUGCAUUUUAAAUAUUUAAU
rnacentral:misc_RNA from 1 species